UGGGGAAUAUUGGGCAAUGGGCGCAAGCCUGACCCAGCAACGCCGCGUGAAGGAAGAAGGCUUUCGGGUUGUAAACUUCUUUUAAGAGGGAAGAGUAGAAGACGGUACCUCUUGAAUAAGCCACGGCUAACUACGUGCCAGCAGCCGCGGUAAUACGUAGGUGGCAAGCGUUGUCCGGAUUUACUGGGUGUAAAGGGCGUGUAGCCGGGCCGGCAAGUCAGAUGUGAAAUCCCAAGGCUCAACCUUGGAACUGCAUUUGAAACUGUUGGUCUUGAGUAUCGGAGAGGCAGGCGGAAUUCCUAG
rnacentral:rRNA from 1 species